rnacentral:lncRNA from 1 species
GCGCUCCCGGAGCUGCAAACCCGGGCUUCUUCCUUCCUUCCUUCCUUUUUUUUUUUUUUUAAAUAUUCUUUCUUUUUUAGUCCUUUUCUCCCUUUCCUCCUGCCCUGUUUCCUUUUAGUAUUUUCUUUGUGAUUGUUUUUGCAAGUUUGUUUUAAAAGUUCACUGCAUGCUUUCUUUUCUUGUAGACCGGGAGACCGUGAUCUCACCCUGACGAUGGAUGCAGAUGAGGACAAAGAGGAGUAAAGAGGAGCCACCUAACAAAGGAAUCCUGACUCCCUGAAUAGCCAUACACACCCAGCAACAACUAUAAAGAGAGGGGGUCCCUGAGCCAGGUGCAUGGGGAAUCGAUACUGACCUGCCUCUUCUCUUCCAGCACCGCUUCUCCAGGGAAAUGGUUUUCCUGCCUGGGAUGGAGAAAAUUUCAUUAAAGGAAACCCAAGAUAGAAAAGGAGGGAAGU